rfam:Gossypium hirsutum cultivar TM-1 chromosome 16, whole genome shotgun sequence
UGUUAAAAAUUUCAUCCAUUUUUUCUGUUAAAAACUGGUAUAGCUGACAAAAUAACCAGACAUUUACACUUUAUGUGUUAUGUGUACUUCAUGUUCACAUACAAAGAUCAACUUUUAACAGUAAGAAUGGAUGAAAAUUUUUAUA